UGUAGUUAUGUUGGUUGGGAUCCAUGCCCUCUGUUUGGGUUGGCUCGGUCGCACCACUUGCAGAGAUGCCCUUCUUCCCCUUGGCCUUUCUCUUGGAAACUUUUUGGCCUCCUAUUUGAUUUUGUGUGCGAAAACUCUUCUCCAUAGUAUUGUUUUAGUCGAAGGAAUCGCCCCCGUUCUUGGUGUAGUUGUUGUCAGCAUUGACUUUGGUCCUCUUCAGGCUUCAUGGAGAGAGUGCAUGUUCAAUUAGGGAGAAGUAUAGCCAGCAUAAGUACAAAAUUGUGGCUAAGAAAAGCUGCCCUCCAUCAAUACCAAUAUAGUACUACUAAGGCUACCUUUGGACUAUUUUUUGAAAUAUUUAUAAACUGUGGACACCUUUUUGAAUA